UACGAAUCCAAGCCUGCCGAUAACCAUCGACUAUAAAAAAUUACUCAUCCCUCACUUGUCGGUAUAACAGUCAAUUGUUUUCACCAUCCCCUUGGCAAAGUUGACACAUGUAAACAUUUUGAAAUAUCCGAAGCAAUAGUUAUUGAAAACAAUUUCAAGGACAACUAAAAGUCGCCAGGAUGCAGAGCGAAUCGUCAUGGGCAGUUAACAACCGGCGAAAGUAUGACGCGUACUCCCUCAGAGGUCGCAAAGGUCUUCACUAUCCCCCGCAACCGGCAUUUGUAAGAGCCCCACGACGGGGACCCGUUCCAGGACCGAUCAGAAACCCUGUUAAUUCAUACCGAACUGCCCCCGCCACCUCUUCCCGGGCUAACAUUCUCAAGAAAACCAUAAGCUGUCCUAACAACGCCAAAACAAAAUGCAAUAUCACGCCUCAAAUCCCAAAGCUCGUCGCGUCUAAGAAGAGCUUAUCGAUGGUCGACCUAUCACCUGUAGCCGCGAAAUCGGAUGUUGCGAACCUCAGCAGAUCCGAAAGUGCCGCAUCCCUGCAAGGACGGUCGCGGAAGGCGAAUGGGAAUUUGGAAACAGCAGCAGUUCCGAGUAGCGAUGUGGCCUUGUGGACCAGAGGUUUGUUUCCGGAGAGUGAGGCAUCAAUGGUACCAGGCGUCAAGUCGAGAGCAGCAAGUCUUGUUUGUCGAGCCUUGGUAGUGAAUGCUUGGCGACGAAGGCGUGAAGAGAAUUUCCAGCUAAAUGAGACUAUUCGACAGUUCACGCAACAAGUGCAACACCUUCAUAUUCAGAUUGUCGUAUUAAGACGACUUCUGGACACAGAGAAUGGUCGUGUCGGCAGACUUAUGGCUGAAAUGCAGCAGACAAAACUUCGAUUGGAGGACGUUGCUCGCGAAAGGGACCACCUGAAAUCGGAGAAAGAAAAAGCUUUGCAAGAUGUGAGCCAACUCCGGGAUGCAGUAGAAAAAAAAACUGUAUCGGCCGAAAACUUGCGGAAUGAAUUAUUAUCUGUACAAACCCAUUUGGCAGCUCUUGACGGACAGGUAUCGAAAGAUAGAGAAAAGCUGCUUAAACUGAGGGAGGACAAGAAGAUGUUGCUGGAAAAGGUGAUGAUUAGUGAAACUCUGGCGUCCGAGCGCCUAGCGAUGAAGGAAACUGCAGAAUCUGAGAUUGAAGAUUUGCGGGGUCGGUUGAGUGCCCAGAUUGCAUUACUCUCCACUACCAAUGAGCAACAGUCGAAAAUUGUGGAAGAAAACAAGUUGAAAACUAAGCAAACAAUAAAACUACAAAAACAAUUACAAGUUAGCCAAGAGGCCGGAAAAUUUCUCACUCUACGCGCCACUAAUCUUGAAAAUGAACUCGCCGAUCGCGAUGCUGCAUUACGACGCCUCGAAACCGCCUAUAACUCGCAACUUUCGGAGUUGAACGCUUUGCGGGAGCGAUUAAAUCGCCAAUCGCAGGAGGGUGGCUGGAGUACCCGAGUCCUACAGAUUGCCGGAAGCGUCGUUCGCGCACCGCGAGCUAUUCUUCGUACUCUUUCCUUCCUUUCGAAUCCUGCGGGACCGUCACCUGUUACGUCUUAGGAAUUCCAUGAUGAUAAAUAAUAGCUGGCGCGCGUAAAAGGUUAUCAUUGCGAUAAUUAUCUGCACUUAGAUGGCAUACCUAUACAGUAUGUACCGCGGUCACUGAUUAUCUUGGAUCGAACGACGACGACCACAACAAUAGCUGACAUAUACGACCGUCUAUAAGAGAAAACAGGUGUAGAUAUCUGCUUGUACAAAAUGGAUCAGGUAUCGGAGAAAUCCCUUGAUCGAGCUGUUAUGAAACUCAAGAUGGAAAAAUUUGCUGGUGGGAUGACAUAAGCGCUUUGCGAUUACUAAUUUAUUAUUGUCGAAUAAUUUUUCAUUUUAUACCUGAAAUAUAUCACUGCUAUCUGCAAUUGGUUUCUGCGAUCGUGAUUCUACAUAACAUGAUAUAGACUCGUAAUACCGCGAAUAGUGGGUAGUGUUCAAAUUUUGAAAUGCGAUCAAUCGAUUAAUUGGAACCUGAAAAUUCGACUGUCGAAUCUGCCUUGCUGUCGAAUGACGUCUUUUGUUUACACUGUUCGGUGGUCCAUGAGAGCGCUGUGAGGUUAUGUCAUCUUAGUUAUGUAAUGUUACGUUCUUUCUCGCAAUUAAUUAAUAUGCGUGCAUUAUCGGUAAAUGAAUGUUGGCAAGCCGUGAGCUGAGAAAAAAUAAUUUACCUCACGGAAUGAGCUUAAGUUUUACUCAGAAAUCUUAGAUAAGAUGGAAAGUGCUGUUAAUCAAGCUAUAUAGCGUAAGGAAUUCUUUUGAUACUCUUGACUAUCAUCUUCUGUUCCCGCCUACGAUUUUGCAUCCGCGCCACGUUCGACGAACACGCGGCGCGAGGU
rnacentral:misc_RNA from 1 species